AUCCAGAUGACGAGUCUCAUAUAAGACGAAACACGCGUCCUGGAU
rfam:Schistosoma curassoni strain Dakar, Senegal genome assembly, scaffold: SCTD_scaffold0004553